rnacentral:lncRNA from 1 species
GUGAUAGUGUAUUCUUUGUUAUACUAAUUGCACACGCUUUUCUUUACAGUGCUAGCAAACAUUACCAUCUAGCCAUGCAUGUGAUCGGGAGAAUGACUCAAGCCCGAACCAUGCAUGAGCUUGAUGAUGUCUUCAUUAGCGCAGCUGUCGUCUUCUCCAGCCCUUGCAGUGCAGUGAAUGUUGAAAAACAUUUUCAAAACCUGCAGGUCCAUCUGCAGGGGAUAGACCUAGCCAUAGAAGAGGCCAAGAUUGAGGAGGAAGAAUUUGGGAGUGAAUUGGUGCAAUCGCCAUUUCUUCUGCAUUUCCAAAAUUUGCUAAGAAAUGCAAAUGGACAGAGAUGGUGACCCAAAUCUGUAUCGAUGCCCAAGCAUUAUUCCCACUCUUCUGCAGAAUCUCCUCCCUCAAGCUCCUUUGUGGACUGGCCUCCUCCUGGGUUAGUCUGUAGUAAACACAGCCUGUUCCCAAUUAAAGUCCAAAACCUUUUAUUCUAGCUCUGUGGUGUCCUCUACAUAAAUUCCAAUGCAUAAAUUGGGGUUAUUGUCCCAUAAAUUCAUUUCUUUCCCACCUACCCUAUCCUCAGGUGACCUGGGACGCCAUGGGAAAGGGACAGUUUAUUUGCAGCUGUCGAAUAAAUUUGAGAAAGCAGCAAGUACAGCGAAACAGGUAUAAUAUCAGAUCAAAGUUGAUAAAAAUGUCAUCAUGUUGCUCAUAUAGGCAUGUUCCUUAUGAAAUACUGUAAUAUUAUUGAACAUGCCACAAGCACAACCACUGCUCCAGUGCUCCCUUUGAGCUGCACUGUGGCUGCCCACUGCUUUGGGUGAGCCAGUGUGUCCUUAAUAAUGUCACACCUCCGAGUGUGUGUGUUCCAGAAAGGGUGGAAAGCAGAGAAAGCCUCCCCCCCACACCCCUCUUCUUAAUUUAUUCCUAGUCCUCAUUUAGUGUGGGUGCAUUGAUUUGAUGAAAGGGGCGAACAUACUAAUUAUUGACCAAAAUGUUUCAAUUGGGCACAAUUUCUAUGUGUCAAUCCAGAACUACACACAGGACAACAGGACCCAAGGGAUCAUGGAGAAGAGCCAGUGGGACUUGAAGAAAGUCAGGCUCCAGGGCAGGCGCUUCAAGAGGAUGGACGAUUUUGUGGCCAUUCAUAAAGUCAGCACCAAUGCCCUGCUAAGGGAAUAUGCUGACUCACUGAAGGAAAGGAGGAAGCAGAAGAGACAUCAGGUGGAAACUGAGAAAUGGAAACACAGAAGCCAAAGGAAACGGGGAGUGUACGUGGCACCAAGGAAGAAGGCAUUUACCUUUCAGACAACAAAGGUAAAUUAA